rnacentral:rRNA from 1 species
GAUGAACGCUGGCGGCGUGCCUAACACAUGCAAGUCGAACGGAAAGGCUCCUGCUUGCAGGGGUACUCGAGUGGCGAACGGGGGAGUAACACGUGGGUGUUCUGCCCUGCACUUCGGGAUAAGCCUGGGAAACUGGGUCUAAUAUCGGAUAGGACGAUGGUUUGGAUGCCAUUGUGGAAAGCUUUUCGGUGUGGGAUGAGCUCGCGGCCUAUCAGCUUGUUGGUGGGGUAAUGGCUUACCAAGGCGUCGACCGGUAGCCGGCCCGAGAGGGUGUACGGCCACAUUGCGCCUGCGAGACGGAGCAGACUCGUACGGGAGGCAACGGUGGGGAAUAUUACACAGUGAGCGCAAGCCUGAUGCGGCGGCGCCGGGUUGGGAAAGACGUCCUUCGGGUUAAAAACACCUUUCGUCAGAGACGAAGCGAAAGUGACGGUACCUAGAGAAGAAGCACCGGCUAACUACGUG